AGAGUUUGAUCCUGGCUCAGAACAAACGCUGGCGGCGUGCCUAACACAUGCAAGUCGUACGUGAAAGUCCCGCAAGGGACAAGUAAAGUGGCGACCGGGUGAGUAAUACAUAGGUAACCUACUUAUAAGUUGGGAAUAACAGUUCGAAAGGACUGCUAAUACCGAAUAUUAUAUUAUAACACAAGUUGUAAUAUCAAAGAUGGCCUCUUUACAAUGCUAUCGCUUAUAAAUGGGCUUAUGAACCAUUAGCUAGUUGGUGGAGUAAUAGCCUACCAAGGCAAUGAUGGUUAGCUGGUCUGAGAGGAUGAUCAGCCACACUGAACUGAACACGUCGGCGCGAUGACACCUGAGCGACGACUGAUACUGUAUAGACUUACUGUGCUAGCUAUUCCACGUAUGGCAGUUCGAUCGGAAGCGUGCGUCGUAGACGUUACUCGUCCGAGAGGUAUGACCAAGCGAGAGUCGGAUCUGUGACGUAAUGGUAGAAUCAGAGACACGUGCGAGCGCGCACUGCCUGCCUGACGUGGGCGGACAGGUGGGAGCUACGGAUAAUACCCGUGUCACGCGUAACGAGGUCUAGGGUCGCCGGUCCACCGGGCGGUGCGGAGUAACGCACUAAUACCCCGCCUGGGAGUACGGCCGCAAGGUGAAACUCAAAGGAAUUGAUGGGGGCCCGCACAAGCAGUGGAGCAUGUGGUUAUUGACGCAACGCGCAGAACCUUACCAGGACUAGACGGGAUCGUGAGCGCCGCGAAAGCGGCGGGCGGCUUCGGCCGAGCGAUCGUCAGGUGCUGCAUGGUUGUUGUCAGCUCGUGUCGUGAGAUGUUGGGUUAAGUCCCGCAACGAGCGCAACCCCUGUCGUGUGUUGCCAGCGGUUCGGCCGGGCACUCACGCGAGACAGCCGGGGACGACCCGGAGGAAGGUGGGGAUGACGUCAAAUCCGCAUGGCCUUUAUGUCCUGGGCUACACACGUGCUACAAUGGCCGCGACAAUGGGUCGAUACGACGCGAGUCGAUGCUAACCCCCAAACGCGGUCUCAGUUCGGAUUGCAGGCUGCAACCCGCCUGCAUGAAGCCGGAAAUGCUNGUAAUCGCGGAUCAGCAUGCCGCGGUGAAUCCGUUCCCGGGCCUGGUACACACCGCCCGUCACGCCAUGGGAGUGGAUUGUACCAGAAGCAGCUAGCCUAACCUUCGGGAGGGCGGUUACCACGGUAUURUCAUGACUGGGGUGAAGACUGAACAAG
rnacentral:rRNA from 1 species